AGGAAAACUCUCAUUGUGCAGGAGAGGCCGCCAAUCGCCUUCCAUCAAGGACAAAGUCACCUUCCUCUGGAGGAGAAUCCAGUCCUCGGGAGACGCUCUGUGGCUUGUGAGUCCACUGCCAGAACUAGGUCCUCUCCAGGCUGUCAAUAAUGUGGUGGGAAGCAGGGAUCCUCGGUGAUGGCUGAUGGAUAUGCUCACACCUCCAAGAGACUGGCAAACUGUCCAGGAUGUG